rnacentral:sRNA from 2 species
UCGUAGCCCGGAUAGUAGCGGCAUCCUUCCUGUGCUGCCUUUAGGCACAGGAAGAUACAGCGUAGAGCCGGAAAAAGC